ACGGGUGAGUAACGCGUGGGAAUCUACCCUUUCCUGCGGAAUAGCUCCGGGAAACUGGAAUUAAUACCGCAUACGCCCUUUGGGGGAAAGAUUUAUCGGGGAAGGAUGAGCCCGCGUUGGAUUAGCUAGUUGGUGGGGUAAAGGCCUACCAAGGCGACGAUCCAUAGCUGGUCUGAGAGGAUGACCAGCCACAUUGGGACUGAGACACGGCCCAAACUCCUACGGGAGGCAGCAGUGGGGAAUAUUGGACAAUGGGCGCAAGCCUGAUCCAGCCAUGCCGCGUGAGUGAUGAAGGUCUUAGGAUUGUAAAGCUCUUUCACCGGGGACGAUAAUGACGGUACCCGGAGAAGAAGCCCCGGCUAACUUCGUGCCAGCAGCCGCGGUAAUACGAAGGGGGCUAGCGUUGUUCGGAAUUACUGGGCGUAAAGCGCACGUAGGCGGACUUUUAAGUCAGGGGUGAAAUCCCGGGGCUCAACCCCGGAACUGCCUUUGAUACUGGAAGUCUUGAGUGUGGUAGAGGUGAGUGGAAUUGCGAGUGUAGAGGUGAAAUUCGUAGA
rnacentral:rRNA from 1 species